AAGGAUGGAUUGUGCCAUGAGGCCAGCCCCUGAGCACCACUUAAACCCCUGAGGUUUAAAUACAGGUUGUAGGCUCACCCAUUACUGGAAGGAGGGCAGAGAAGACAGAGCAUCACCCAGACAAAGCAGAUAAUGCCUUUAGGAUGGAUCCGUUUUUGGAGCCUCUCCACUACAUUGGAAUGCAUGGAAAAUACCUGUUGUGUCUUAAAAGGAGCGUCUGGAGACAAGAAAUGAGCAGUGUGGAGAUGGGAAUGAAUACAUCAGGUGUAAACAGUUCUAAUCUCCAGUCUAAAAUCCCUGCCUGAGUUGCCUACUCCAACCUGGCUGGAAAUUUCAGGAACUGCAGAAACCACCAAGCUGUCCCUCUGAAUACAGGGCAUGUUCCUGGAAGAGCAAAACAGGGAAACACUGUGGACACACAAAGGAAGAGAAAUCCUGGGAAAAAUUGCAUCAGUGAGGAAAUCUUCUGGUAUCCAUUAAAAGCUCUUCCAUUGAUUCCCUGUGGUGGCCAGGAAGAGUCUGAGUUACCUUUGCCUAUAAACCCCUUUGGCAUGUGGGCACCAGGGUCACUCAUGUGGAAUUCCUAUGGAGAUUCCAGCUGAGAGCACUGGCAGCAUCACCCUGGUCCCAGGCCUCUGCAGGAAACCAUCAGUGUUGUCUGAAAUGCAAUGUAACCUCAGAAAUAAAAAUCUGGCCCCACUGAUCAGGAUCCAGAUGGAUAAACUCAAGCUGGGAGCCCAGUUUGGACCCAUGUCUGGUUUAAAUGUGAAGUAUUGUAAAUCAUUUUAGUGAAGUAAAUGUGAAGUAUUGUAAAUCAUUUUAACCAUCCCUGGGUGCAUUUAGGCUCACCCAUGCGAGCAGUGUCGUUGGAGUCAAUUACCAACAAUGGCAUUUCUUUAUUCACUGCUCAUUUCUGAUACAGGGUGUAAAUGACUCUUUCAUUGCCUUUGACACCAAAAUCCCUUAGCCACUACAGGGACAUUUCACUAAGUGAUAAAUGCUGCUUGAUUGGGGUGGCUUUUAAUUUUCUAAUCCCAUUAAGAAUGAUAGAUAUGUCAAAUAUUUGUGCCUGCUGGACAGAACAUAUUAUUCUGCUCUAAGGCUUCCAGUUUAAUUUUUUUUGAUCAAUUGGGCAGAACCACUGCUGUAAGACAAACAGAUGCUCUUCAGCUGUACUUUUCCAUAAAUGAUUUUGUUCUGUGGUUUUUUUUGUUCCCCUACCAGGCAUAUCAAGUUCAAAAGAAAAUGUUGCCUCUCACUAAUGAGAAGAUUAAUCUCAUUCACAAAUGCAGCAGACUUUGUCAACUCUGUUGAAAGUUUGAUGACCUUUAAGAGACAAAGUUUUAGUGUGCCCAAAAUAAAUAAUUCAUCCUUCACAGAUUUGCCCUGUGUAUCCAUCUGCUUAAAUCCGAAGCAUGCUGAUUAAAGCUUCUGAGUGCAAUUAUCUUCCUAUUUCAUUCAGAUAAAAAUCUCUAUUUUCUCACUGCACUUCAAAGCACAACUGUUCAUUUAAGGAUAUCACCAAUCCAAUGUACAUGGGGUCCAUUUUUGCUCUGACUUAUGCUCUCCACAGCCUUCUUCAAAAUCUCACAAAAAGGACUGGAGUUCUCUUUCCCAUAGAAUUUCCUUUUCCAGUGCUGAAAGCUGAAAUGUGUAAUUAAUCCUCCUGUAAAAUCUUUGAAAUCAUUAUCUUCAAACACAACCAGAAAAGUAAUUUCUGUUCUCAUGUACAGGGAGAAGAAUGUCAUGUGGGCAAGUGGCAAGACGUGAUUUACUUUGAUUACCACAAUUACUGGGCUCUUUCCACCUCUGAAGGCUGCAGGCAGCAAAUUGCCAGGGGAACCCAUUGCCCCUGUCUCUGCCCUGUGCAAUGCCCACAGGGCUGAUUUCUUUUCUGAUUUCUUUCUGAUUUUCUUUCUGUUGCCCUUUUGGCUUUCAGCCACACUUUUGCACAUAAUGCUGCGUGUAAGUAACAUCAGCUGGGAGUGCAGCCAAAGGGGCUGCUCACAGGACACACUCAGGAACCACAGAAUCACAGAAACAGAAUUGAGUUUGGGACCCAAAAGGACCAUCAGAGUCCAGCUCCUGACCCUGCACAGAACCCACCAGAUGCCUGUUCCCUGCCCCAAAAACGAGCAUAAAAACGAGCAUCCCUCCAGCCAUCGGCAUCAGGGGGCAGGUUUGGAGCUCCCUGCAGUGCCCACAUGCAGAUAAAUAAGCUGAUUAUAAAACAGCCAAGCAGAUGGUCUCUUUUGUUGCUACCUGUGAGAAUAAGCACAAUCCUCCCAUUUCCCUGGGAGGAAGGAACCGUCUCUGUGGACAUCAAGCAGCUCUCGGUUUCUUGGGGAUGCUCUCAGUUUCUUUGGGACACUCUCUGAAAGAAAUGCUGAAUGAAUAUUGCAGCCAUUUCAGUGAAUCCUUCCUGGGCCCAACUGAAAUCAGACCAAACUGGCACCAUGUCACCUUGUUAUUAGAGAGAACAAAUAUUUCCUCUGGCAACAAUUCUCCUUCAGCCUUGAAAAAAUGUUAAAUGUUGGGAUUUUUUCAUGCAGAAAUUGAAAUUGGUCAUAAAUGCUCUCUGGAUUGAAUGUUGCUUGUCCAAGAUGAAACGAAAUGAAACGAGUAAAAACGAAAGGGGAAAUAACAAGGGAUUGCUGUGGUUUUUAAGGUGAUUUACGAAAGAAAGGAAAUCCUAGAGAUUAGGAAGUUGUUUAAAUACCAGUGACAGUCAAAUAUGGAAGAAUUCCAAAGUCAGAGAUUAGGAAAAAAAAAAAAAAGAUAGGAAUUGCAAA